UACGUAGGGGGCAAGCGUUGUCCGGAGUUACUGGGCGUAAAGGGUGCGUAGGUGGUCAAUUAAGUCCAGUGUGAAAUUCCACGGCUAAACUGCGGGAGAGCGCUUGUAACUGGAUGGCUUGAGGGCGGGUCAGGAAGAUGGAAUUGUCAGUGUAGGGGUGAAAUCCGUAGAUAUUGGCAAGAACGCCAGUGGUGAAGACGGUCUUCUGGACUGAUACUGACGCUGAGGAACGAAAGCCAGGGGAGCGAACGGG
rnacentral:rRNA from 1 species